UACGGUUUGCUAAUUCUCGG
rnacentral:siRNA from 1 species